ensembl:lncRNA
UGUGGUAUUGAACAUGUUGUGGAUAUGUGGUGGUAUUGAACAUGUUGUGUUGUGGAUAUGUGGUGGUAUUGAACAUGUUGUGGAUAUUUGGUGGUAUUGAACAUGUUGUGGAUAUGUGGUGGUAUUGAACAUGUUGUGGAUAUGUGGUGGUAUUGAACAUGUUGUGGAUAUGUGGGGGUAUUGAACAUGUUGUGGAUAUGUGGUGGUAUUGAACAUGUUGUGUUGUGGAUAUGUGGAGGUAUUGAACAUGUUGUGGAUAUGUGGUGGUAUUGAACAUGUUGUGGUAUUGAACAUGUUGUGGAUAUGUGGUGUUAUUGAACAUGUGGAUAUGUGGUGAUAUUGAACAUGUUGUGGGUAUGUGGAGGUAUUGAACAUGUUGUGGAUAUGUGGUGGUAUUGAGCAUGUUGUGGAUAUGUGGUGGUAUUGAGCAUGUUGUGGAUAUGUGGUGGUAUUGAACAUGUUGUGGUAUUAAACAUGUUGUGGAUAUGUGGUGGUAUUGAACAUGUUGUGGAUAUGUGGUGGUAUUGAUUAUGUUGUGGAUAUGUGGUGGUAUUGAUUAUGUUGUGGAUAUGUGGUGGUAUUGAACAUGUGGCUAUGUUGUGGUAUUAAACAUGUUGUGUUGUGGAUAUGCGUUUGUAUUGAACAUUUUGUGGCAUUGAACAUGUUGUGGAUAUGUGGUGUUAUUGAACAUAUUGUGUUGUGGAUAUGUGGUGGUAUUGAACAUGUUGUGGUAUUGUACAUGUUGUGGAUAUGUGGUGGUAUUGAACAUGUUGUGGAUAUGUGGUGGUAUUGAACAUGUUGUGGAUAUGUGGUGGUAUUGAACAUGUUGUGGAUAUGUGGUGGUAUUGAACAUGUUGUGGAUAUGUGGUGGUAUUGAACAUGUUGUGUUGUGGAUAUGUGGUGGUAUUGAACAUGUUGUGGAUAUGUUGUGGUAUUGAACAUGUUGUGGAUAUGUGGUGGUAUUGAACAUGUUGUGGAUAUGUGGUGGUAUUGAACAUGUUGUGGAUAUGUGGUGGUAUUGAACAUGUUGUGGAUAUGUGGAGGUAUUGAACAUGUUGUGGAUAUGUGGUGGUAUUGAACAUGUUGUGGAUAUGUUGUGGUAUUAAACAUGUUGUGUUGUGGAUAUGUGGUGGCAUUGAACAUGUAGUGGAUAUGUGGUGGUAUUGAACAUGUUGUGGAUAUGUGGAGGUAUUGAACAUGUUGUGGAUAUGUGGUGGUAUUGAACAUGUUGCGUUGUGGAUAUGUGGUGGUAUUGAACAUGUUGUGGAUAUUGAACAUGUUGUGUUGUGGAUAUGUGGUGGUAUUGAACAUGUUGUGGAUAUGUGGAGGUAUUGAACAUGUUGUGGAUAUGUGGUGGUAUUGAACAUGUUGUGAACAUGUUGUGG